GAGCCCAUAAGUUAAUGGAUAGACUCUCCGGCUUCGGACCGGAAAACCGAGGUUCGAUUCCUCGUGGGCUCG
rnacentral:tRNA from 1 species